CUCCACGUUGCCCUUGCUCAGGGCCAGGUCCACGUUGGCGAUGGUGAUGCGGAUCUCCUCAGGGGUGCCGCUGAACUCAUUAAUGGCGUCCUGCAUGAUCUUGGUGGCUUCGUGCUGAAAUAGCGAACACGACCCCGGAAUAAGCACGGAACAAAUCGUCUGCUUCCAUCGGCAUGCUGACUCCCACAGUUCUUCCUGGGGUGGAGAGCAUUCCUGGUUAAACGGCGCCCAGGACUGUCCUGGAUCACUGGAUUGCUCUUAGGAGCAAGGCCUGUCGCCACUGGCCCAUCCCACAAUAUUGCCGUUACUGUGUACCAUGUUCUCCUGGCUCUGCCCAUUUCACCGCAUCAGCUCUCGGAGGUCUUCCCGACUCUUCCUGACAUGAUCCUGUUCAUCACUUUUUGCAGCAUGACAGUAUUCCAUCACCACCCUCAUGUGCCACAGUUUGUCCAGCCAUUCCCCAAUUGAUGGACGGACAUACCUUCAUCUUCCAAUUUUUGCCACCAAAGUGCAUCUAGGCACAUUUUUUAAAAUUAUCUCUUCAGGGUACAAACCCAGUAGUGGUAUGGCUGGACCAAAGGGCUGGCAGGCAUUUAAAGCCCUUUGGGCAGAAUUCCAAACUGCCCUCUAGAAUGGUUGGAUCAGUUCACAAUUCCACCAGCAGUGUAUUAAUGUCACAAUUUUGCUGUCCCCCCACCCCAAUUUAUCAUUUUCUUUAAUGUCAUAUUGGCCAAUCUGAGAGGUGUGGGGUGACUCCUCAGAAUUGUUUUAAUUUGCAUUUCUCUAAUCAGGAGAGAUUUAGAACAUUUUUUCACAUGAUUAUUGAGAGCUUUGAUUUCUUCAUCUGAAAAUUGCUUAUUCCUAUCUUUUGACCAUUUGUCAAUUGGGGAAUGACUUUGUUUCUUAUAAAUUUGACUUAGUUCUUUGAGAAAUGAUGCCUUUGUCAGAGAAAUUUGUUAUAAAAAAUUUCCCCCAGUUCGUUGCUUCCCUUCUUAUCUUGGUUACAUUGGUUUUGUUUGUACAAAAUCUUUUUAAUUUAAUAUAAUUAAAAUUAUUCAUUUUA